AGGCUGCUGGAGGCUAGGAGGAUUUACUACACAUUUCCUUGCUCUUCUAUUUUCCACAAAGAAUUUGCCGCUGGACAGUCUCACAGGCUCUCCCAUGGGGUCAGUAAAUUCCGCAUUCAAAGAAGAUUUUAAUUCCUUGUUAUUUUCUAGCUCCUUGUCUUUCUUUUGAAACAUGCUGACAUUCUUCUCUUCAGUCCCCUUUGCAU
rnacentral:lncRNA from 14 species